rnacentral:rRNA from 1 species
GAUGAACGCUGGCGGCGUGCCUAAUACAUGCAAGUCGAGCGAACGGACGAGAAGCUUGCUUCUCUGAUGUUAGCGGCGGACGGGUGAGUAACACGUGGAUAACCUACCUAUAAGGCUGGGAUAACUUCGGGAAACCGGAGCUAAUACCGGAUAAUAUUUUGAACCGCAUGGUUCAAAAGUGAAAGACGGUCUUGCUGUCACUUAUAGAUGGAUCCGCGCUCCAUUAGCUAGUUGGUAAGGUAACGGCUUACCAAGGCAACGAUGCAUAGCCGACCUGAGAGGGUGAUCGGCCACACUGGAACUGAGACACGGUCCAGACUCCUACGGGAGGCAGCAGUAGGGAAUCUUCCGCAAUGGGCGAAAGCCUGACGGAGCAACGCCGCGUGAGUGAUGAAGGUCUUCGGAUCGUAAAACUCUGUUAUUAGGGAAGAACAUAUGUGUAAGUAACUGUGCACAUCUUGACGGUACCUAAUCAGAAAGCCACGGCUAACUACGUG